CGGCAAAGUCGGCCGGGGGCGGGGCUCGCUCUCUGCCGCCCGGCCCGGUGACUGAACUACUUGAGACAGUUUUGCAGAGCUGGGGACUGUAGCAUGGAUUUCAUUUGAAGAAUCGUAGGAGUCAUUGAGGCUGACGAAAACAUGAACCGUCCCGUUGUGACACUCCAACCCCAGCUCUUUCAGAAAGGGCCUGAGGAACUCAUAUCAACACAGUGACCAGCCACAAUCCAGAAGACUCAAGAUGGCCGUCUACCAACGAAUGAGGACUUUUUUUCCCCCUCUUUUCCCUUCCCUCAGCAAUAUGGGAAUU